UUGCUAUGAUCAUUUGGGGUCCUUUCCACCAGCUCUCAGCCUGCACCAGGUUCAGUCCCCUUGUUCAUACCUGCAUGCUUUGAAAUACUGCCAUCUGCAUCUUGAUCUUCCUGAAAACCAACACCAACAGGAACCCUCUGCCAGUCAAGGUGUCACCUCUGUAUGCAGCCACGGCCUCAUGAGGGGGUGUCUCUCCAUCCUGUCAGUGUUACCCUGAGGUCAAUGUGAACAUGCCCAUGGGAGCCCUGGCAAGCCACACACACACAGACCAUCCUCCUGCCAGCUCCUGCUCCCAGCUGCGCUCUGGCAGGGUCCCCACAGCCAAACCCUGCUGCACCUCAGCCUGGUUCCAACACCAGCACAAAUCCCAGGAAUGCCUCCUUCCCCUGCAGCUGUGUGCUCUUGGAACUGCUGCUCCAGCCUUUUGUCUCCAGGUUUGGAUUUAUGGUGCUGCUUAGGUAACCGAGGGAAACAGGCUGGAGUUCACAGAGCAUAUUUACUGAUGCUAUCGCUGUGGCUUUGCCAUGACUCAAAAUUUGCUCAAGACAGGAAACUCAAGGAAGCUGCCACAAGAAGCUGCAGUGAGCAGUGGGACUGUGAAUGUCACUAAUGAAAUGGCAAUUACAAAGGGAGGGAGAAACUAAAAGGCUUCUCCUCUACUUAUAACGUUGCUUUGGGUAUUCUUCUUAUUAUUUUACACAACAAUCCAAGUCUUUUAUUGAAAUAAACUCUGCUUUGGGUCAUGCAGCCAAUUCUCCAAGGGGCAAGAUGGCUUUCCCCUAUUGAGCACAGUAGGCUCAAUAUGAUUGUACUGCAUUUGCUGUGUGUCUGGUUUGUGGGCUGAAUGUUUGCUCUCCUGGGAUUGCCAAGACUCAGGAUUGAUUUUUCCAGUGCUCUCAAAUCCUAGAGGGCACCACAGAACAGUUCUGCAAACCAGGCUUGCUCUACAACACAGAUUUUACAGGUGUUGCUCUUCUUGUCUCCUUUUUAGCUUUCCUUUCUCUUCAUAUUUGAUUUGUAUUAAAAUUAAAAAGGAUCUUAAAGUAGUGAACAAGCAGUUAGUGGAUGAGUAUGAAAGGGGAAAACCCCCUAACAUCAAGAAGAAAAGGCACUAUAUUUGCAGAAUUGAAGCUGUUGCUUCGAAGCUUCAGCCUGUGUAAGCUGCCCCAAAAGCAAAGCCAGGCCGGCGACUCCAUCUGCAGCCACUUGCAUAUUCCCACAGGGGUACAAUAUGCAGCUGAUUUCCCAAUUAAGCUUUCCCAGCAAAGAAGUUUUAUAAUUUAAACAGACUCAAAAGUUUGAGAAAUGAAUACAUAUUCAUGAAGGACUAAUAACGCUCUGUCUAGAACACAGCUUUGAGCUGAGAGCAGCUCUGACUGGCUCAUGUCUCACCCACCACACUUAGCGAAAAUGGGAACGAGGAAGAAAUGGCUGAAACCAGCAGAUUGUGUUUUGCUAAGACAAUAAAUAAUAACCGUAUUCUGA